CCUACGGGAGGCAGCAGUGAGGAAUAUUGGUCAAUGGACGAGAGUCUGAACCAGCCAAGUAGCGUGAAGGAUGACUGCCCUAUGGGUUGUAAACUUCUUUUAUAUGGGAAUAAAACGUUCCACGUGUGGCUUUUUGUAUGUACCUUAUGAAUAAGGAUCGGCUAACUCCGUGCCAGCAGCCGCGGUAAUACGGAGGAUCCGAGCGUUAUCCGGAUUUAUUGGGUUUAAAGGGAGCGUAGGUGGGUUGUUAAGUCAGUUGUGAAAGUUUGCGGCUCAACCGUAAAAUUGCAAUUGAUACUGGCAGUCUUGAGUACAGUUGAGGUGGGCGGAAUUCGUGGUGUAGCGGUGAAAUGCUUAGAUAUCACGAAGAACCCCGAUUGCGAAGGCAGCUUACUAAACUGCAACUGACACUGAGGCUCGAAAGUGUGGGUAUCAAACAGGAUUAGAUACCCUUGUAGUC
rnacentral:rRNA from 1 species